CCUACGGGUGGCAGCAGUGGGGAAUAUUGGGCAAUGGGCGCAACCCUGACCCAGCAACGCCGCGUGAAGGAAGAAGGCUUUCGGGUUGUAAACUUCUUUUCUCAGGGACGAAGCAAGCGACGGUACCUGAGGAAUAAGCCACGGCUAACUACGUGCCAGCAGCGGCGGUAAUACGUAGGCGGCAAGCGUUAUCCGGAUUUACUGGGAGUAAAGGGCGUGUAGGCGGGACUGCAAGUCAGAUGUGAAAACCACGGGCUCAACCCGUGGCCUGCAUUUGAAACUGUAGUUCUGGAGUGCUGGAGAGGCAGGCGGAAUUCCUAGUGUAGCGGUGAAAUGCGUAGAUAUUAGGAGGAACACCAGUGGCGAAGGCGGUCUGCUGGACAGCAACUGACGCUGAGGCGCGAAAGCGUGGGGAGCAAACAGGAUUAGAUACCCCUGUAGUC
rnacentral:rRNA from 1 species